AUUGAACGCUGGCGGCAUGCUUUACACAUGCAAGUCGAACGGCAGCGCGGGCUUCGGCCUGGCGGCGAGUGGCGAACGGGUGAGUAAUACAUCGGAACGUGCCCAGUAGUGGGGGAUAGCUCGGCGAAAGCCGGAUUAAUACCGCAUACGACCUGAGGGUGAAAGCGGGGGAUCUUCGGACCUCGCGCUAUUGGCUCGGCCGAUGGCAGAUUAGCUAGUUGGUGAGGUAAAGGCCUACCAAGGCGACGAUCUGUAGCUGGUCUGAGAGGACGACCAGCCACACUGGGACUGAGACACGGCCCAGACUCCUACGGGAGGCAGCAGUGGGGAAUUUUGGACAAUGGGCGAAAGCCUGAUCCAGCAAUGCCGCGUGUGUGAUGAAGGCCUUCGGGUUGUAAAGCACUUUUGGCGGGAACGAAAAGGACUGUGCCAAUACCACGGUUCGAUGACGGUACCCGCAGAAUAAGCACCGGCUAACUACGUG
rnacentral:rRNA from 1 species